UGCUACAAUGGGCGGGACAAAGGGUCGCGAUCUCGCGAGGGUGAGCUAACUCCAAAAACCCGUCCUCAGUUCGGAUUGCAGGCUGCAACUCGCCUGCAUGAAGCAGGAAUCGCUAGUAAUCGCCGGUCAGCCAUACGCCGGUGAAUCCGUUCCCGGGCCUUGUACACACCGCCCGUCACACUAUAGGAGCUGGCCAUGUUUGAAGUCAUUACCCUUAACCGUAAGGAGGGGGAU
rnacentral:ncRNA from 1 species